AAGGAAGAUGGGGGAAAAGAAGUCUGGCUGCUAAAGACACUUGAUGGAGGGAGAUUACUCAUGUUCAGGCUGGAAGAUGGACGGGAGAGAAAAACUGGAGCCCAGAAGGAUGUUUAGGGGAAAGAAGGUGAGAUCAUAAAAGAAGCAAGAUUAUGUUUUAAGGCCACAGGGAUACAGAAAAGGCUGACUUCUUAUCUCACAGAUUCUAGGUAGUCAAGG
rnacentral:lncRNA from 1 species